rnacentral:miRNA from 1 species
CCUGUGGUCCAAGAGAUCGGGAUUGUAUAUAAUAUUACAUAAAUAUAUACGUAUAUUAUUAUUAUAAUAUUAAUACAUAUAUGUGUAUAUGUGUAUACAGUCCCGAUCUCUUGGACUACAG